CGUGGCCAUUGGGCAAAAACACACAUCAUUACAAACUAAUGGUUCAUAUAUUCAUAUGCUCUUCUAAACUUAAUACUGUUCCUCAUGUUCAGCUAAACUCGUUACAAUGUAUGGUAAGUUUAUAUCAAUUGUGGAGCUUUUGACAUCGAGGCUGUCACAAUGGGCAUUUUGCAUUUGUGACUUCCGCCUUUAACAGGAAGAACUCUAGACAGUUUCCGGUUGGGGAGACUUAAAGAAAUGUAAAAAUAGUUAAAUUUAUCAUUUUCUGUACAUUGCGUAUUUGAAAUUAUACUUUCAUAAGUUAACAUGUCGUUAUAACAUUCAAACAUGGUAGAACACCACUUCUAUAUACCACUGCUGUGUGCCCCAAUGUACAGCAUCUGCUAAAUUUAACUAUUUUCUUAUUUCUCUCUGCUUUAACUCUCCCCAACAGGAAACUGCCACAGGGUUCUUCCUGUGAAACGAGGAAGUCGCGCAUGCAUGAAGCCCAUUGAAGACUACUCUUAUUUAGGUCUACUAAAUACUUAACCAUCUUACAUUUUUAACACUUUGGCUGUAGUAUUUUCUUAACAGGGGUGAUCAUAGUGAGUGACAAUCAUUUAUUUUUUAUUGAAAAUAUUGAAAAAGGAAAUCAUUGAUGGGCCAGCAUUGGAAAUGUUUGAACUAGUGUCCAGAUUUUUUUUCUUACACAAAUAGACAUUCACAUACAAUUUGUAUUGUACCCAGUUGUCUUCAAACAUCCUUCCAGUAGAGGGCACUAAAGAUUAUAAUACUGUAUAACAAAUUUGUGCUAAAACCUUAUUAUUAUUCAGUAAUAUUUGUUUUUGGCCAGGGUUGUCUGUGAAGCUGAAUGUAUCUGACUGUAAAGGACUUUUUGAAAGUUAAAAAUAACUACAGCAGGGACUUUUGCGACGCACCACUGAGACACCUGUUACCAAUCAAGAUGAUUCGACGUUGGAAGUUCCUGAUACCACAACGACACGCAUUCCUCUGUUUAUUCUCGAAUUUGAUUGUUACGCUUGAUGACUCUGGAUCAGUCAGGUGUGUUAGCACACUUCAGGGGCGGAGAUAGGUCGGUGAAGCUGAUGGACCUUCUGUAAGGUGGACCAGCAGGCCAUUUACGCAGGAAAAGAUGGCUUGGGAUUUUAUGGUGUAGCAUCAAACCUCUGUGACUUGAGGAGUGGUAUACUGAAUAUGUUAACACAUCUUAGUCAAAAAAUAUUACCAGGCGGCGCCUUUACACUCUGAUUCCUGUUGGCAUGGACCGCCGUGUUGAUAUGUGGGUUCAGCAGUCAGGGAGAAGGAUGGUGGACACGUUGAAGGGGAACUCGCAGGCAGCCAUCCCUCCUCUACACAGCAGAGCCGGAUGGCCACCCAGUCCGCUGCAUCGUAGUUAAGCGUUUCUUGUUCACCGUAUCGGUCUAUGAGGAGAGCCUUCAGCAGAAUCAAACAUUUUAUACACCGCAGGAAAGAUGCCAAACAGACAGAGUCGGGCCUUCGUGGCCAGUGGAUCGAUGGGUGUGAUUACAGCCGCUGCUGAAAGCCACUUCCUUUUUCAUCUGUAGUGGGUCGAGCUUCCUGAGCCCAAACGGCCCUGAUCGACCGCAUUAAGCCUCCCGCUGAGCUUGCUCUUAUUGUAGUUACUGAGAUGCACAACAAAAUACAAAGAUAUUCUCCCACCCCGCGCUCACCCACGACUCACUAGUCGCUGUCUGCAGCCUCAGCAAAAAUGGCAAUGUGAAUCAGUGACGGGAAUCAGCACCGAAUCAAAUAAACAUAUCCUUGUGAAAUGUUAUGUACAGAUAACAUAGCCGUGAACAAAACAGACGUCCUUUUUUAACUCCCCUGCUGCGAAAUGAACGCUGGAGGACCGAGGCAUCUUCACGCCGCCUGCUGAUAUCUUUUGUUCUGAUCCUCACCAGAAAAGUGAAACCGCAAUCACAGGCAGAUGAUGAAAUGUGUUUUUGGGUGAUGAGAAUAACUUUGAAUCGCCAAGAGACGGGCGGUCAUUGUUUUUAUAUCUUGGUACCGUACGACUGUCUAUAAACAUGCAAAUAAGCCUUGACUUAGAAAAGUAUAAACAAAUAGGGAGGGGGGAAGAGAAGCGAAAAGAACAGAAAAUCAACAAAGAUAAAAGAAGAAAAGAAUUGCAGGACGGUCUAAUUCCCAAAUCCACCUGCAGUGAUUUCAGACAGCAUGUGAAACGGAUAAGCAGAGAUUCAAGAGAAACGGACUUGAGAGUGCACGAGAAGUGAGAUUUCUGUAAAAUAAAACUGUAGUGUGGAAAUUGAGAAACGGAAGAGAAUAAAGCGCUUAAUGCAUUUGUGGCACUACCGCCGAGAGAUGCAGCAGAAUGGAUGAGAUGUUUGCUGACGAUGACAGGAGGAGGGUACAGCUGGAUAAAACAGAGCCAGAGCGACGACCGGACUCGAGCCCGGGAUGAGUUGAAGUGCAUUGAUUUGUCUGCAUCGCUCUCUCAUUCUUUCCCUCUAUCUUCAGUCCCCUCGGGGGAGUGUGACAGAGAGAAUUAAAAACAAAGGCAGGGGACAGAAACGCUCCGGUCCAAUUUGUCUCAGAAGGCUCGAGGAGAUGGAGGCUACCUCAUUCCCAUUAUCUUUAUCUGGCCCCAAGAUCGGAGAUGGAGACUGUGGCGAAGCUCGGGAGACUCUAAGAUUCGCUUAUGGAAUGCCGAAACGCAAACUAUGAUCCGUGGAAGUGUGAACUCCGACAUCGUCCAUUCCUCUGCCCUAAUAAAACAACACGCUUGCCCUCCGGGGCCAAUAAAAGCAGUUUACACAGUGGAGCUAAAAGAAUUUCCUCACCUAUUGCUGUACCAAUCCCUUAUGUACAGACUUGUGUUGGUCUUAGUCUUAUAGAAAUGUUAUUUUUGC